CGAUGCCGGUGGGCGACUCCCAGGUGACGCAGACGAAUUCUGACUCCGCGCGGCUCUCGGGGAUGGAGAAGGCGACGUAUUUCCCCCCGACGUAGAAGCGGUACUCGGUUGUAGGUGGCCGCGGCGGAGCCCCGGGGGCUGGUGACCUUGCAGGUGUAGAUGCCCAGUGACAGUGGCAGAAGUCCAGGGCACUUCCCAGAAGAGGGGCACUGCCACCUGACUUCCUCCCCCGACUUUCCCCAGUGAGGACAUUGUUCCAUGUGACGCCAUGGGGACAUCAGGGGGAGGACGAGGAUCCCAGGGCAGGGAUGGGGCCGGCGCUGCGUGCUGUGGGGACUCAGCAGGAGAGGGGCGACCCGGGGCUGGGGGUGUCCCCAUCUCUCCGU